rnacentral:tRNA from 1 species
AUUUUUAUAGUUUAUUUAAAACAGCAGUCUUGUAAACUGCAGAUGAUAUUUCUAAAAAUG